AACGCACAUUGCGCCCUUUGGUAUUCCUUAGGGCAUGCCUGUUCGAGCGUCAUCUAAACCUUCAAGCACUGCUUGGUGUUGGGCGUCCUUGUCCCGCCUCUGGCGUGGACUCGCCUUGAAAUCAUUGGCAGCCUGUGUAUUGGCUUCGAGCGCAGCAGACUCGCGCAUCGUACCCUCUCGCACAGGCGUCCAGCAAGCUUCCCUUAAAUUUGACCUCGGAUCAGGUAGGGAUACCCGCUGAACUUAA
rnacentral:misc_RNA from 1 species